AUUGAACGCUGGCGGCAGGCCUAACACAUGCAAGUCGAGCGGAUGAAGGGAGCUUGCUCCUGGAUUCAGCGGCGGACGGGUGAGUAAUGCCUAGGAAUCUGCCUGGUAGUGGGGGAUAACGUCCGGAAACGGGCGCUAAUACCGCAUACGUCCUGAGGGAGAAAGUGGGGGAUCUUCGGACCUCACGCUAUCAGAUGAGCCUAGGUCGGAUUAGCUAGUUGGUGGGGUAAAGGCCUACCAAGGCGACGAUCCGUAACUGGUCUGAGAGGAUGAUCAGUCACACUGGAACUGAGACACGUUCCAGACUCCUACGGGAGGCAGCAGUGGGGAAUAUUGGACAAUGGGCGAAAGCCUGAUCCAGCCAUGCCGCGUGUGUGAAGAAGGUCUUCGGGUUGUAAAGCACUUUAAGUUGGGAGGAAGGGCAGUAAGUUAAUACCUUGCUGUUUUGACGUUACCAACAGAAUAAGCACCGGCUAACUUCGUG
rnacentral:rRNA from 1 species